rnacentral:lncRNA from 1 species
UUGUAACAUGUCAAUAUCAAGCACAUCAGCACUUAUUAAAGAUAUGAUUAAUUAUCCAAUAAACCAAAAUAUUAGAUUAAAUGUGUUACUCAGAUUACUUGUUGGACUUCAUGAAAUUGCGUUAAAAUCACCCGCAACCAUCCAUGGACCUUGUAUGUCUUAGGACAGUAAUUGAAGUUUUUCCCAAAGAAGCCGUCUCUCCUGAAUGGAGCACUUUGCAUAAACAAUGGUAAGCCUUAUCAGAUCAGAAUUAAGGUCGACUGUGAUACACAGUUCAAACUCGUCGACAAGCACUACAUUCACUUCAUGAUUCCAACAGAGCCAUAUUUUAUCAUCUGCCUCUUGAUUUGCCAAUGAAAAGUGGAAACCC